rnacentral:rRNA from 1 species
GACGAGGAGCUUGCUCCUCUGACGUUAGCGGCGGACGGGUGAGUAACACGUGGAUAACCUACCUAUAAGACUGGGAUAACUUCGGGAAACCGGAGCUAAUACCGGAUAAUAUAUUGAACCGCAUGGUUCAAUAGUGAAAGACGGUUUUGCUGUCACUUAUAGAUGGAUCCGCGCCGCAUUAGCUAGUUGGUAAGGUAACGGCUUACCAAGGCAACGAUGCGUAGCCGACCUGAGAGGGUGAUCGGCCACACUGGAACUGAGACACGGUCCAGACUCCUACGGGAGGCAGCAGUAGGGAAUCUUCCGCAAUGGGCGAAAGCCUGACGGAGCAACGCCGCGUGAGUGAUGAAGGUCUUCGGAUCGUAAAACUCUGUUAUUAGGGAAGAACAAAUGUGUAAGUAACUAUGCACGUCUUGACGGUACCUAAUCAGAAAGCCACGGCUAACUACGUGCCAGCAGCCGCGGUAAUACGUAGGUGGCAAGCGUUAUCCGGAAUUAUUGGGCGUAAAGCGCGCGUAGGCGGUUUUUUAAGUCUGAUGUGAAAGCCCACGGCUCAACCGUGGAGGGUCAUUGGAAACUGGAAAACUUGAGUGCAGAAGAGGAAAGUGGAAUUCCAUGUGUAGCGGUGAAAUGCGCAGAGAUAUGGAGGAACACCAGUGGCGAAGGCGACUUUCUGGUCUGUAACUGACGCUGAUGUGCGAAAGCGUGGGGAUCAAACAGGAUUAGAUACCCUGGUAGUCCACGCCGUAAACGAUGAGUGCUAAGUGUUAGGGGGUUUCCGCCCCUUAGUGCUGCAGCUAACGCAUUAAGCACUCCGCCUGGGGAGUACGACCGCAAGGUUGAAACUCAAAGGAAUUGACGGGGACCCGCACAAGCGGUGGAGCAUGUGGUUUAAUU